GCCACUCCCGCGGCAUAUGGAGGUUCCCAGGCUAGGGGUCGAAUCCGAGCUGUAGCCGCUGGCCUACACCACAGCCACAGCAACUUGGGAUCCGAGCCGCAUCUGCCACCUACACUACAGCUCACAGCAACGCCAGAUCCCCAACCCAUUGAGCAAGGCCAGGGAUCGAACCCACAACCUUGUGGUUCCUAGUCAGAUUCGUUAACCAUUGCGCCACGACGGGAACUCCGAAAUAAUGUUAAAAAAAAAAAAAAAAAAAAAAGCAUUUCAACUAUCAAAGUUCAAAUCAGGAGCUCAAAUCAAAUUUCAUUUCGGUCCGGUCUGAAAACAUUUUGGUGUUACGGUGCUGUGGUUUUAGAAAAAAGUGCUCAUGACCGGUUCUGGUUUACACAGGUCGAGUAGGUUAAAACUGAAAUAUUUCUCCAUUCGUUUGUGGUUAACUGAUUCAUUCAUUGUUUCAGAAAUUGAAGGUGGUCAGCUAGCCUCUGGUUUGGGUUCCUGGUUCAAUUCAGUUCAAGAUCCUGGCAAGUGCAUACUCAGAAAAAAAAAAAAAAAUGUACAAUUCCUAAAUUACCAUGUGCUACAUAUCCUGGCUUCCUCAAAAACUACAAACCGGAGUUCCGUCGUGGCGCAGUGGUUACCGAAUUCGACUAGGAACCAUGAGGUUGCAGAUUCGAUCCCUGCCCUUGCUCAAGUGGGUUAAGGAUCCGGCUUUGCCGUGAGCUGUGGUGUAGGUUGCAGACGCGGCUCAGAUCCUGCGUUGCUGUGGCUCUGGCGUAGGCUGGUGGCUACGGCUCUGAUUAGACCCCUAGCCUGGGAACCUCCAUAUGCUGUGGGAGCGGCCCAAGAAAUAGCAAAAAAAGACCAAAAAAAAAAAAAAAAACACAAACCUCUCUUACUCUAGUAGGAUAACAGAGAAACGUCCCAGCCAGAGGCGGACCUGUAUGACGCAAAGCAGAGCAGAGGGCAGGCAACACCUAGAUAGCAGAACAGAGAGAACCCUGUGGCUCUGCUUCCAGCAGAGGACAACCGAACGAACACGUGUCCUUUCUUGGGCAUCAGAAACCUCUGUAUUGGCAGCUCUCAACCGUGAUGUCUGGAUACAAAGGUGAACCUCUCUGAGGCCACAUGUAUCAAGCAGUCAUCCACAAAGAACUGAUUUUGUUCAUGUUGAGUAUGUCAAGAAAUACACACGCUCAUUAUAGACACACAUAUAAGGAUUGUAUACAUAUGGCCGCAUCGAUGAGUUAUACUGUCACCUGCAUUCUGAUGGGGGUUCUUGUCUAGGCGCAACAUGCAUGGGGCUACAGGGCCAUACAUGUGGGCACGUGACAGCAGAGAGUUUGUUUGACCUUCCCUUAUGCAUGGUCAUACCAUAACACGAACUUGGAAAUGAAGACGUGAAAUUUGGACAAGGCGAAGGGCUGAGGCGGGUCCCCUGGCCCCCUAGGUUUGUAUACCUGAGGCGUGGGCACGGCCCUGACAACAGCUGAGUCCCUAACCAAUUUUUUCUUUUUUUCUUUUCUAACUCAUUAGAGUCGAGUUACUUACUUGUAUUAGUUUCAGGUGAAUCAGCAAAGUGACUCGGUCGUGCAUAUAAAUAGAUCCAUUCUUUUGUCCCAUAGAGGUUAUUACAAACUAUUGAGUAGCGUUCCCUGUGUUCUGCAGUAGGGUCUUGUAUUUUAUACAAUUGUGUGUCUAUUUUAUCCCCACCGACCCAAUUCCUCCCUUCCUCCAACGUUUUCUGCUAUGGUCACCAUAAGAUUGGUCUUGAAAUCUAUGUGUCUGGUUUUUUUUUAUUUUUAUUUUAUUUUUUUGUCUUUUUGCCUUUUCUAGGGCUGCACCCCCGGCAUAUGGAGGUUCCCAGAAAAGGAAAAAAAAGACAAAAAAAAAAAAAAAGAUCCAGCCAGUGUAGCCACACUGUGGCUCUGGCUUGGAUUUGAUCCCUGGCCCAGGAACCCCAUAUACUGCGGGGCGGCCAAAAAUAUGUAUGUCUGUCUGUGAGUGCCUGUGCGUGCGCAUGCGCGCACGUAUUGUUGAAUCUUGGCUCGUUUUAAUUCUCCAGGCCCAAUUAUGGACAUUAUCAUGCUUGAGCCUCACAGCAAUUAUCAAAAGCAGCAGCCCUGGACCUAUGGAAGACCUAGCCUCUGAAGCAGGAAGCUUAAGUUUGAGCCCAAGGUCUCACCUUACUUGCUGCCUGAAAAAUAGUUCCAGUCAGAACCCAAUAUCCACGGGGUUCCACACCCACAUAUUCAACUGAUCUCGAAUAGAAAAUAUUCAGAAAAAUAAAUGCCAGAAAGCUGGAGUUCCCAUCCUGGCUCAGCUGUAGCUAACGCAACUUAGUAUCCAUGAGUACGCGGCUUCCAUCCCCAGCCUCGCUCAGUGGGUUAAGGAUCCGGCGUGGAGAUGAGCUGUAGUGUAGGUCACAGACGUGGCUCAGAUCUGGCGUUGCUAUGGCUGUGAUGUUGGCCGCUCGGAUUCAACCCUUAGCCCGGGAACCUCCAUAUGCCCGGUGCAGCCCUAAAAAGCAAAAUAAAUAAAUACAUAAAUAAAUAGGAAUAUGUUUGCAGAAAGAGCCAGUAAAACGUUUCAAAGAAGAGUAAUAAUAAGAAACUCUAGAGGUGAUACAUUACUCACCUUAAUGGUCCCAAUUUAUCCAUCCCCCCCGGUCUGCACGUUUUUUGCAAGGUGCCUCCGCCGUUCCCUCCAUCAAGAGAU
rnacentral:lncRNA from 1 species